rnacentral:rRNA from 1 species
AGCAGCCGCGGUAAUUCCAGCUCCAAUAGCGUAUAUUAAAGUUGUUGCAGUUAAAAAGCUCGUAGUUGAAUUUCGGGAUCAAUUAAUUGGUCGUGCCUCUGGUACGUACUGAUUUUAUUGGUUUCUCCCUUCUGACGAACCAUGAUGUCAUUAAUUUGGUGUCGUGGAGAAUCAGGACUGUUACUUUGAAAAAUUAGAGUGUUUAAAGCAAGCUAACGCUUGAAUACAUUAGCAUGGAAUAAUGAAAUAGGACGUUUGAUCCUAUUUUGUUGGUUUCUAGGAUCGACGUAAUGAUUAAUAGGGAUAGUUGGGGGCAUUAGUAUUCAAUUGUCAGAGGUGAAAUUCUUGGAUUUAUUGAAGACUAACUACUGCGAAAGCAUUUGCCAAGGAUGUUUUCAUUAAUCAAGAACGAAAGUUAGGGGAUCGAAGACGAUCAGAUACCGUCGUAGUCUUAACCAUAAA